UCUGGAAUUAGGGAUUUUUGGAAUUCGCGCAUUGCAACAAAGAAACCCCAACUAGUUACCUUUCUCAAUUCUAGCUGUAGCCUUUCUGCCAGAAUCUCGUCGCUUGGCUUACCGGAGCCUCGCCGAAACAUUUAAGAGAAUCGCACGCUUGCACACUGCUGAGUCAGGUCUCCACCGGCUGUUUUUCACUAUUAUUUAGUGUUUUAUAACAUUUUAUUAAUGUUAAUUGACUGUUAAUACUUUAUUUAAUAGUAAUUAGCUAUUGACUAAGACUGUUGGCUGUUGAAAGUGUUUGUGUUAUUAAAAUUAAAAUGAGAUGUUUUGGGAAUAAAAUAGGGUAACCAUGAUCUCCUCGAAUAAAAAGUGAGGAAAUGGUUGAUAGGAUAAAAGAAGGUAAUUCUGGUGAUCUUGAGUAGACCACCUCGACUAGGUGUUAAUCUUGAGACCAUGAUCAGACCAUCUCGACUAGGUGGUAACUUCAAUAAGCAUGAGCAGACCACCUCGAUCAGGUGGUAAUCUUGAGACCAUGAGUAGACCACCUCGACUAGGAGGUAAUUUUGGUAACCAUGAGCUGACCACCUCGACUAGGUGGUAAUUCUUAGGACCUUAAGCAAGUUAUCUUGACCAAGUGGAAAUUCUUGUGACCUCAAGCAAACGAGUUUGAGGAGGCAUUGGACCGAGUCACCAAGAAGAAGGACUCAUUAAAAUAACCGCCACAAAUCACCUUUAAAAAAUAGGGCAUGAAUUUAAUUCAUUAAUUGCCACAAUCUAAGGUCGUGGGUGUGGGGUGUUUAUAAAAACCCAAAGAAAAUCAUACCAGAGAGAGGUUGAACUUUAAAACCCAAAGAAAAUCAUACCAGAGAGAUGUUGAACUUUCUUUUUUAAUUUUUAUUUUAUUCUUUUGAUUACAUUUUACUUAAGAUUAUUUAUUUAUAAAAACUAGAAAUGACAUAUUUUGUUUUUCUUGUAAACCCGAUAACUGACUUGAUGCUGGAAAAUUUUUUGGCACCUCUAAUUAUUCUCUGUAAUUUCAUAUACUUGUUGAUCAUCAGUUUCAAGAUUAUCUGCUUGUAAAUAUUCUGCUCAUAGUCAAAGAAUAUUCUUGGAGAUCAACAAGCAUCUUCCCACCAAACAAAUUUAAUGCUGAUGCAGUGAUUUGAGUCACUAACCAACUUGUUCAGAUUUGGGCAUCAACAUGAGUAAUUUUUGUUUUAAAAUAUUAUUUUAACAAAAUUAGUAUUGAUAAUGAUGUGGCUAUUGAGAGCUGACUUUUGUUUCUUAUUUUUAUUGUGUAUACUAGCAGUGUUUUAGCUGAAAGGAGGGGAAGUCAUACUUUUGAAGGCUGUGUUGAAGUAACCUAAACCUGAUUGAGGUUGGGAAUGAUAGAGGAUUAAACACUUGAAAUGGAAGAAUCAAAGACGACAGGGAAAAGGAAAACACCUGAAGAAGAUUCACAUGUCAGGGGAACCCCUAAGGAAGAAUCGACCAAGAACCAACGAAAUCCGACACGCUCAAGUGUACAUGAGGUUGCAGUACCCAGCGGCUAU
rnacentral:lncRNA from 1 species